GAUGAACGCUGGCGGCGUGCCUAAUACAUGCAAGUCGAGCGAACGGACGAGAAGCUUGCUUCUCUGAUGUUAGCGGCGGACGGGUGAGUAACACGUGGAUAACCUACCUAUAAGACUGGGAUAACUUCGGGAAACCGGAGCUAAUACCGGAUGAUAUUUUGAACCGCAUGGUUCAAAAGUGAAAGACGGCCUUGCUGUCACUUAUAGAUGGAUCCGCGCUGCAUUAGCUAGUUGGUAAGGUAACGGCUUACCAAGGCAACGAUGCAUAGCCGACCUGAGAGGGUGAUCGGCCACACUGGAACUGAGACACGGUCCAGACUCCUACGGGAGGCAGCAGUAGGGAAUCUUCCGCAAUGGGCGAAAGCCUGACGGAGCAACGCCGCGUGAGUGAUGAAGGUCUUCCGAUCGUAAAACUCUGUUAUUAGGGAAGAACAUAUAUGUAAGUAACUGUGCACAUCUUGACGGUACCUAAUCAGAAAGCCACGGCUAACUACGUG
rnacentral:rRNA from 1 species